CAAUACCAUACCUUUUGAGGCCAGCAGCAGGCGAAGGAGGAAACCCUAGUAUGAAAAUCAAGUUUUUGAGAUCAUCAAUCUGCUCAACAUCAGCACCAGCAGCAGCAAGGAUCUGAUAUGGAAGAAGUUAGUGUACGAGAAAUUGCGAAUCAUAAGUUAUUACUAAAGACACGAGUAAUUCAGCAGAUCAAGAAGAAGAAAAGGAAGAAGAACAAAAGGAAGAAGAACAAAAUGCUUGGUUUGAGCGGAAUCGGAAAUAAAAUACUGGUAUCACUUUCAUUCUUGCCGCUCAUAAAUGAUCCUUGUUUGGAAGGGUUCAAAUAAACAAUGCUGAAAGUGUCAAAGCCAAAAGUUGAAAAUGAUUGGACUCCUGCCGUUUGUAGCUAAGCUCAUCAAUCAUCUGAUUCUUCUAAUUUUCUUUUAUUAGAAUCGAUUGAAUCAUGUAUAUCCAUCGUAAAUUUUCUCGGGGUUGUAAUCAUUUUGAGAUUUGAUUAAUCUAAUUGACAUUAGGUAAUCUUCAGUUCCUCCCAUACAGGUAAGUUGUCUUUCAAUUUCAUGUUCUUAUCAUUUUUCAUCUGGAUCUUCUCACCAAAAACAACGGAAAGUGAAAGGCUCAGAAAAUUUGCCAGAACUAUUACCCAUCUCAGAUGACUAAUGCUUCUUCUGUGCAAUUUUGAACAGGAAGAUGGACUCCACACAUUUCAAUUUAACGUACACCCAUUGGGAUAAGCAAGCUCAGGAUUUUUUUGCACUAGAUGAACGUUAUAAAAAAGCUACCUUGUCUAUUACGCUGUGGAAUAUAUGGGAACAGGAAAACUAAUUGGAAAAGGCGUCACUAUACCAUUGAAGAAGAAAAAAGUUACCUUGUAUUUUAGAUAAACCCAAUGCGUAACCGAAAUGGAGUGGAAGGAUCUUGUAAAAUUUUGGACUACUGAAGAGCAUUAGGUACUUUUUCAUCGCAAUGUCAAGAGCAGAAGCCAUCAAGAAGGCACACACACAAUGGGGAAACUUUUCUCGAUACAAAUCUGAAAUGAUGGUUGGCAAGAGCAGGAAAACGGUCUGGUGAUCUGGAUGAUAGAGGUCUUCAGACAUCUGCUGAUGCCCAGGCAUUUCACAAAUAUCUGCGAAGAUACCGGAGUUUCAAACAAAAACAGAACUUCAGUGGUCCAGUACUCUAUAAGCAAGGCAUCAAAUAUGGUGGUGGUUAUUUUAAGCUUUCUUUCCAGUUAUGUCAAUCUGAAGAAAUUUGGUGGUGAUACUCCUUACAGCUUUACAGGUCUGUAUACUUGUGUGUGAAAUGUCUUACUUUAUAAAUUUAGAGCAUCCCUGGUUGACAUGGUGAGUUGCAAUGUGGGUCUAAUAGACCCUAUCAACUGGAUCAUCACGAGAUUGAUGAAAGGGUCACAUGAUCUUAAACAGUUUGUGGGAUAGUGGAGUUGAUUAGUUAAGGUCCGACAACCACAUGUCCUAUUCUCUCACUGAAAUAAGAGUGUAAACAAAAUUGUAUGCCAAGGUAACUGUUUGCAGCAAGAAUGUCUCCAGACUUUGCUGUUGCAUGUUGCACGAAUCAGUUUCCUUUUCUUUGGUGCUAAUUGAUUCUAUAUCUCUUUCAUAUUUUUGUCUUAGAACCUCGCAUCCAAAACCUGUAACUGUGUGGAUUUUAAAGAAAUCAGUUUCCUUUUCUGUGGUGCUAA